rnacentral:rRNA from 1 species
GGGCCCGCACAAGCGGUGGAGUAUGUGGUUUAAUUCGACAAUAAACGGGGAAUCUUACCCAGACUUGACAUCCUAAGAAUCCCAUAGAAAUAUGAGAGUGCCUUUAUUGGAGCUUAGUGACAGGUGCUGCAUGGUUGUCGUCAGCUCGUGCCUUGAGGUGUUCGGUUAAGUCCGUUAACGAGCGUAACCCAUAUUCUUAGUUAUUAUGUCUAAGAAAACUGUCUUGGUUAACAAGAAGGAAGGUGUGGAUGACGUCAAAUCAGCAUGGCUCUUACGUCUGGGGCUACACACAUGAUACAAUGGUGUAUACAAAGAGUUGCAAAGUGGUAACACCUAGCUAAUCUUAAAAAUACAUCUAAGUCCGGAUUGAGUUCUGAAACUCGAACUCAUGAAGUUGGAAUUGCUAGUAAUCGUGAAUC